AACGAACGCUGGCGGCAGGCUUAACACAUGCAAGUCGAGCGAGACCUUCGGGUCUAGCGGCGGACGGGUGAGUAACGCGUGGGAACGUGCCCUUCUCUACGGAAUAGCCCCGGGAAACUGGGAGUAAUACCGUAUACGCCCUUUGGGGGAAAGAUUUAUCGGAGAAGGAUCGGCCCGCGUUGGAUUAGGUAGUUGGUGGGGUAAUGGCCCACCAAGCCGACGAUCCAUAGCUGGUUUGAGAGGAUGAUCAGCCACACUGGGACUGAGACACGGCCCAGACUCCUACGGGAGGCAGCAGUGGGGAAUCUUAGACAAUGGGGGCAAGCCUGAUCUAGCCAUGCCGCGUGAGUGAUGAAGGCCUUAGGGUUGUAAAGCUCUUUCAGCUGGGAAGAUAAUGACGGUACCAGCAGAAGAAGCCCCGGCUAACUCCGUG
rnacentral:rRNA from 1 species